AGUGAACGCUGGCGGUAGGCCUAACACAUGCAAGUCGAACGGCAGCACAGUAAGAGCUUGCUCUUACGGGUGGCGAGUGGCGGACGGGUGAGGAAUACAUCGGAAUCUACUUUUUCGUGGGGGAUAACGUAGGGAAACUUACGCUAAUACCGCAUACGUCCUACGGGAUAAAGCAGGGGUUCUUCGGACCUUUCGCGAUUCAUUUAGCCGAUGUCGGAUUAGCUAGUUGGCGGGGUAAAGGCCCACCAAGGCGACGAUCCGUAGCUGGUCUGAGAGGAUGAUCGGCCACACUGGAACUGAGACACGGUCCAGACUCCUACGGGAGGCAGCAGUGGGGAAUAUUGGACAAUGGGCGCAAGCCUGAUCCAGCCAUACCGCGUGAGUGAAGAAGGCCUUCGGGUUGUAAAGCCCUGUUGUUGGGAAAGAAAAGCAGCAGGUUAAUACCCCGCUGCUCUGACGGUACCCAAAGAAUAAGCACCGGCUAACUUCGUG
rnacentral:rRNA from 1 species